GACGAACGCUGGCGGCGUGCUUAACACAUGCAAGUCGAACGGAAAGGCCCUGCUUUUGUGGGGUGCUCGAGUGGCGAACGGGUGAGUAACACGUGAGUAACCUGCCCUUGACUUUGAGAUAACUUCAGGAAACUGGGGCUAAUACCGGAUAGGAGCUCCUGCUGCAUGGUGGGGGUUGGAAAGUUUCGGCGGUUGGGGAUGGACUCGCGGCUUAUCAGCUUGUUGGUGGGGUAGUGGCUUACCAAGGCUUUGACGGGUAGCCGGCCUGAGAGGGUGACCGGCCACAUUGGGACUGAGAUACGGCCCAGACUCCUACGGGAGGCAGCAGUGGGGAAUAUUGCACAAUGGGCGGAAGCCUGAUGCAGCAACGCCGCGUGCGGGAUGACGGCCUUCGGGUUGUAAACCGCUUUAGCCUGUGACGAAGCGUGAGUGACGGUAAUGGGUAAAGAAGCACCGGCUAACUACGUG
rnacentral:rRNA from 1 species